GCCCUGUUAGCUCAGUUGGUUAGAGCACUGUGCUAAUAAAGCAGGGGUCACAGGUUCGAUCCCUGUACGGGGCA
rnacentral:tRNA from 1 species